UACGUAGGGUGCGAGCGUUAAUCGGAAUUACUGGGCGUAAAGCGUGCGCAGGCGGUUUUGUAAGACAGAUGUGAAAUCCCCGGGCUCAACCUGGGAACUGCAUCCGAAACUGCCUUGCUCGAGUAUGGGAGAGGGAAGUGGAAUUUCCGGUGUAGCGGUGAAAUGCGUAGAUAUCGGAAGGAACAUCAGUGGCGAAGGCGACUUCCUGGACCAAUACUGACGCUCAGGUGCGAAAGCGUGGGGAGCAAACAGG
rnacentral:rRNA from 1 species